GAUGAACGCUGGCGGCGUGCCUAAUACAUGCAAGUCGAACGCUGGAGAUCUAGCUUGCUAGAUCGAAGGAGUGGCGAACGGGUGAGUAAUACAUAAGCAACCUACCCACGAAGACUGGGAUAAUCUCCGGAAACGGGGACUAAUACCGGAUAGGUAAUCGGAAGGCAUCUUCUGGUUAUUAAAGGUUAAAAACACUGGUGGAUGGGCUUAUGGCGCAUUAGUUAGUUGGUGAGGUAACGGCCCACCAAGACGAUGAUGCGUAGCCGGCCUGAGAGGGUGAACGGCCACAUUGGGACUGAGACACGGCCCAGACUCCUACGGGAGGCAGCAGUAGGGAAUUGUCGGCAAUGGGGGCAACCCUGACCGAGCAACGCCGCGUGAGUGAAGACGGCCUUCGGGUUGUAAAGCUCUGUUGUAAGGGAAGAACGGUAGAUAGAGAAUAUCUAAGUGACGGUACCUUACCAGAAAGCCACGGCUAACUACGUG
rnacentral:rRNA from 1 species